CCCAGACUCCUACGGGAGGCAGCAGUGGGGGAUAUUGCACAAUGGGGGGAACCCUGAUGCAGCGACGCCGCGUGGGUGAAGGAGCGUUUCGGCGCGUAAAGCCCUAUCGGCAGGGAAGAAGGAGGACGGUACCUGACUAAGAAGCCCCGGCUAACUACGUGCCAGCAGCCGCGGUAAUACGUAGGGGGCAAGCGUUAUCCGGAUUUACUGGGUGUAAAGGGGGCGCAGACGGCAGCGCAAGCCAGGAGUGAAAGACCGGGGCCCAACCCCGGGACUGCUCUUGGAACUGCGCGGCUGGAGUGCAGGAGGGGCAGGCGGAAUUCCUGGUGUAGCGGUGAAAUGCGUAGAUAUCAGGAGGAACACCGGUGGCGAAGGCGGCCUGCUGGACUGCGACUGACGUUGAGGCCCGAAAGCGUGGGGAGCAAACAGGAUUAGAUACCCCCGUAAAC
rnacentral:rRNA from 1 species